UCAGGAUGAAGAAUUUUCAGGACGAGUCCAGAGUGACAAAGACGCCCUCAGAGAAGGACGAAUCAGACUCCAGCUGUCCAGACUCAGGACUGAGGACUCGGGUCUGUACCUGUGUGAGGUGGACACAGGUUAUGGCCGCGGCUCCAACAGCUGCAGAGUCACAGUCUCUGAAUCAAGACCUGGGAAGACAGAAACCACUCAGCAACCUGGAAGUCUCCAACCACCAGAGCUGAAGGAAGAGACCAAAGGAAUUUCUUUCUCAGGCCGGCUAGCAAUCGUCGGGGCUGUAUUCAUCUGUAUCUCUGAU